CCUACGGGUGGCAGCAGUGAGGAAUAUUGGUCAAUGGACGAGAGUCUGAACCAGCCAAGUAGCGUGAAGGAUGACUGCCCUAUGGGUUGUAAACUUCUUUUAUAUGGGAAUAAAAUGUUCCACGUGUGGGAUUUUGUAUGUACCAUAUGAAUAAGGAUCGGCUAACUCCGUGCCAGCAGCCGCGGUAAUACGGAGGUUCCGAGCGUUAUCCGGAUUUAUUGGGUUUAAAGGGAGCGUAGGUGGAUUGUUAAGUCAGUUGUGAAAGUUUGCGGCUCAACCGUAAAAUUGCAGUUGAAACUGGCAGUCUUGAGUACAGUAGAGGUGGGCGGAAUUCGUGGUGUAGCGGUGAAAUGCUUAGAUAUCACGAAGAACUCCGAUUGCGAAGGCAGUUCACUGGACUGCAACUGACACUGAGGCUCGAAAGUGUGGGUAUCAAACAGGAUUAGAUACCCGUGUAGUC
rnacentral:rRNA from 1 species